AAGGCAGGAGAGUGCGAAACCACAUCUUCGCACGGAUCGAUGUGCUCCUUCAAUAAUUACACUGCAAAUAUUUGCGAACGUUUUAGCCAACGAAAUACCAAAUGAGCUUUUUUUGCCGAUAUCCUCGAAGCGAUUCAGUCUCCGGUUUUUUAGUCCUUCCUGCCUCCACCGAUUAUACGUAUGUGUAUGUGUGUGUGUAAGCACACCUUGUACUUUAUACGAUAGGGAGCUCGAGUUCGCCGGGGAGUAGUAUGGGUAACGGGUUCGUGGGGGCACACGUUCAUUUCGUAUUCUUUUCGACGAUGCGUCAUCCGCCUGGCCAACUGAGGAUAAACUUCGACGCCAGAC
rnacentral:misc_RNA from 1 species